rnacentral:rRNA from 1 species
UGGGGAAUUUUGGACAAUGGGCGAAAGCCUGAUCCAGCAAUGCCGCGUGUGUGAAGAAGGCCUUCGGGUUGUAAAGCACUUUUGUCCGGAAAGAAAUCCUUGGCUCUAAUACAGUCGGGGGAUGACGGUACCGGAAGAAUAAGCACCGGCUAACUACGUGCCAGCAGCCGCGGUAAUACGUAGGGUGCAAGCGUUAAUCGGAAUUACUGGGCGUAAAGCGUGCGCAGGCGGUCCGCUAAGACAGAUGUGAAAUCCCCGGGCUUAACCUGGGAACUGCAUUUGUGACUGGCGGGCUAGAGUAUGGCAGAGGGGGGUAGAAUUCCACGUGUAGCAGUGAAAAUGCGUAGAGAUGUGGAGGAAUACCGAUGGCGAAGGCAGCCCCCUGGGCCAAUACUGACGCUCAUGCACGAAAAGCGUGGGGGAGCAAACAGGAUUAGAUACCCUGGUAGUCCACGCCCUAAACGAUGUCAACUAGUUGUCGGGUCUUCAUUGACUUGGUAACGAGCUAACGCGUGAAGUUGACCGCCUGGGG